CCCUUAGAUGCUCUGGGCCGCACGCGCGCUACACUGGUCGAUGCAACGAGUUUCUUUCCUUGGCCGACAGGCCUGGGCAAUCUUUGAACAUCGAUCGUGAUCGGGAUAGAUUCUUGUAAUUUUUGAUCUUAAACGAGGAAUUCCUAGUAAACGCAAGUCAUCAGCUUGCAUUGAUUACGUCCCUGCCCUUUGUACACACCGCCCGUCGCACCUACCGAUUGAAUGGUCCGGUGAAAUCUCCGGACUGGUGUGAGUCGGAGCAAUCUGACAAACACCGGAAAGUUGAUUAAACCUUACCAUUUAGAGGAAGGUGAAGUCGUAACA
rnacentral:rRNA from 1 species